GUGUCAGCCGCCGCGGUAAUACGUAGGCAGCAAGCGUUGUUCGGAGUUACUGGGCGUAAAGGGUGUGUAGGCGGCCUGUUAAGUUCCGUGUGAAAUCUCCCGGCUCAACCGGGAGGGUGCGCGGAAUACUGACGGGCUAGAGUGCGGGAUGGGAGAGUAGAAUUCCUGGUGUAGCGGUGAAAUGCGUAGAUAUCAGGAGGAAUACCGGUGGUGUAGACGGCUCUCUGGACCGUAACUGACGCUGAGACACGAAAGCGUGGGUAGCAAACAGGAUUAGAUACCCCUGUAGUCC
rnacentral:rRNA from 1 species